UUCGAUGAUACGCGAGGAACCUUACCUGGGCUCGAACGUGUAUGGAAUUAUGCCGAAAGGUAUAAGCCAGCAAUGGCCGUAUACGAGGUGCUGCAUGGUUGUCGUCAGCUCGUGCCGUGAGGUGUUAGGUUAAGUCCUGCAACGAGCGCAACCCUUACCUUUAGUUGCCAGCAUGUAAUGAUGGGGACUCUAAAGGAACUGCCUACGCAAGUAGUGAGGAAGGUGGGGAUGACGUCAAAUCAGCACGGCCCUUAUGUCCAGGGCGACACACGUGCUACAAUGGCCGAUACAAAGGGCAGCUACCGGGCGACCGGAUGCGAAUCUUUAAAAUCGGUCUCAGUUCGGAUCGGAGUCUGCAACUCGACUCCGUGAAGUCGGAUUCGCUAGUAAUCGCGCAUCAGCCAUGGCGCGGUGAAUACGUUCCCGGGCCUUGUACACACCGCCCGUCAAGCCAUGGAAGUUGGGGGUGCCUAAAGUUCGUGACCGCAAGGAGCGACCUAGGGUAAAACCAAUGACUGGGGCU
rnacentral:rRNA from 1 species